AUUGAACGCUGGCGGCAUGCCUUACACAUGCAAGUCGAACGGCAGCACGGGCUUCGGUCUGGUGGCGAGUGGCGAUCGGGUGAGUAAUGUAUCGGAACGUACCAUUGAGUGGGGGAUAACGUAGCGAAAGUUACGCUAAUACCGCAUAUUCUCUCCAAAGGAAAGCAGGGGACCGCAAGGCCUUGCGCUCUUUGAGCGGCCGAUAUCAGAUUAGCUAGUUGGUGGGGUAAAAGCUCACCAAGGCGACGAUCUGUAGCGGGUCUGAGAGGAUGAUCCGCCAAACUGGAACUGAGACACGGUCCAGACUCCUACGGGAGGCAGCAGUGGGGAAUUUUGGACAAUGGGGGCAACCCUGAUCCAGCCAUGCCGCGUGAGUGAAGAAGGCCUUCGGGUUGUAAAGCUCUUUCGGCCGGGAAAAAAUCGCAUGGAUUAAUACUCUGUGUGGAUGAUGGUACCGGAAUAAGAAGCACCGGCUAACUACGUGCCAGCCGCCGCGGUAAGAC
rnacentral:rRNA from 1 species